GGAUUUUGGGUGGUCCUGUAUGGAGCCAGGAGUUGGGUCUCUUCCGACUCAAGAUAUCCUAUGAUCCUGUAAUUCUAUCAAAUUAGCCUUACAGUCCACCUGGACAAAAUUCCUGGAUGAAAAAGGAGGAUGUGUUUAUGUGCUGUCAGAAGAGAGUACAUGGACACUGUUGCUCAGACAUCUACAAAGAGAAGGCAGGAAAAGGUAUGAAGAGAGCUGGUAUGAAGGCUGCCUAUUUUGGGGGUGAGAAAUGAAGGAUUAAAGAAAAAAUUUCAGCAUUCUUUGGAAGGAAUGCAGAAAUUUUCCUGACUCUUUGUAGCACAGAAUUUUGUCUAAAGAAUCUUGUCCAUGAAAUUGACUAAUGAGUUAGGAUUUGUCUGUGACAUUUUGUUAAGCCUCUUUCAUUUGUAGACGUCUCCAAACACUCUAUGGAACUAACGUAAACAUACCUAGACUCAUUGAUAGAAGUUAGGUACCUAAAACACUUCAGAGGGCUUUUCUAUAAAUUCUCAUCCCCAUGAUGCAAAAUGAAUAAUCAAAUGGCCAAAAAGAAAAUUUAACUCUAAAAACAUAUCGUAAUGCUAGAUUGACGUGGUCUACCCAUGAUUCCAGAUCUGCAUACAGAAUUCAUAGGUGGACUGUAUUUCACCAUAGGUGGAACUGACACUCCAAGUAUAAAAAGUGCAAAUACUGAGAGGUGCAAAAUCUGUACUGAGAGCCAGACCUAAAAGGUAUGCCAAAACAGCAGACAGAGGGCAAGUCUCGGGCC
rnacentral:lncRNA from 1 species